rnacentral:rRNA from 1 species
CCAAUAGCGUAUAUUAAAGUUGUUGCAGUUAAAAAGCUCGUAGUUGAAUUUCGGGGCCAGUAGGUUGGUCGUGCCACUGGUAUGCACUGGCCUCACUGGUCCCUCCUUCUUGUAGAACCGUGAUGGCAUUAAUUUGUUGUUGCGGGGAAACAGGACUGUUACUUUGAAAAAAUUAGAGUGCUUAAAGCAGGCUCGCGCUUGAAGACAUUAGCAUGGAAUAACGAAAUAGGACGAUCGAACCUAUUUUGUUGGUUUCUAGGAUCGACGUAAUGAUUAAUAGGGAUAGUUGGGGGCAUUAGUAUUCAAUUGUCAGAGGUGAAAUUCUUGGAUUUAUUGAAGACUAACUACUGCGAAAGCAUUUGCCAAGGAUGUUUUCAUUAAUCAAGAACGAAAGUUAGGGGAUCGAAGACGAUCAGAUACCGUCGUAGUCUUAACCAUAAACUAUGCCGACUAGGGAUCGGAUGAAGUUAAUUUUUUAAUGACUCAUUCGGCGCCUUACG